CACGUAGGGUGCGAGCGUUAUCCGGAAUUAUUGGGCGUAAAGAGCUCGUAGGCGGUUUGUCGCGUCUGCCGUGAAAGUCCGGGGCUCAACUCCGGAUCUGCGGUGGGUACGGGCAGACUAGAGUGAUGUAGGGGAGACUGGAAUUCCUGGUGUAGCGGUGAAAUGCGUAGAUAUCGUAAGGAAGACCAGUGGCGAAGGCGAGUCUCUGGACAGUUACUGACGCUGAGGCACGAAGGCCAGGGGAGCAAACGGG
rnacentral:rRNA from 1 species